GAGGUUAUAGCUCAGUAAUAGAGUAUUUGCCUAGCAUGCACAAGGUCCUGGGUUCAGUCCCCAGUACCUCCA
rnacentral:tRNA from 1 species